rnacentral:rRNA from 1 species
AGUGAACGCUGGCGGUAGGCCUAACACAUGCAAGUCGAACGGCAGCACAGUAAGAGCUUGCUCUUACGGGUGGCGAGUGGCGGACGGGUGAGGAAUACAUCGGAAUCUACUUUUUCGUGGGGGAUAACGUAGGGAAACUUACGCUAAUACCGCAUACGACCUACGGGUGAAAGCAGGGGAUCUUCGGACCUUGCGCGAUUGAAUGAGCCGAUGUCGGAUUAGCUAGUUGGCGGGGUAAAGGCCCACCAAGGCGACGAUCCGUAGCUGGUCUGAGAGGAUGAUCAGCCACACUGGAGCUGAGACGCGGUCCAGGCUCCUACGGGAGGCAGCAGUGGGGAAUAUUGGACAAAGGGCGCAAGCCUGAUCCAGCCAUACCGCGUGGGUGAAGAAGGCCUUCGGGUGGUAAAGCCCUUUUGUUGGGAAAGAAAAGCAGCAGGUUAAUACCCCGCUGUUCGGACGGUACCCAAAGAAUAAACACCGGCUAACUUCGU